UUAGCAGUUCCGACUGAAUUUAACGUCUGUUAUUUCUUUUGCAGAAUGCCUUGUUUCACAAAAAAGAACACUGUUCAGAUAUUUUCUCUGGACUGUCAAUUUCUGCAUUUCAUAAUCAUGUGAUACCUGUGUUGGAGCCCUCCCAAAAACCUCCCCUGUAAAAUUUCAAAGUUAAGGAGAUC